UGGGGAAUAUUGCACAAUGGGCGAAAGCCUGAUGCAGCAACGCCGCGUGAGUGAUGAAGGUCUUCGGAUUGUAAAGCUCUGUCUUUUGGGACGAUAAUGACGGUACCAAAGGAGGAAGCCACGGCUAACUACGUGCCAGCAGCCGCGGUAAUACGUAGGUGGCGAGCGUUGUCCGGAUUUACUGGGCGUAAAGGGUGCGUAGGCGGAUGUUUAAGUGAGAUGUGAAAUACCCGGGCUUAACUUGGGUGCUGCAUUUCAAACUGGAUAUCUAGAGUGCAGGAGAGGAGAAUGGAAUUCCUAGUGUAGCGGUGAAAUGCGUAGAGAUUAGGAAGAACACCAGUGGCGAAGGCGAUUCUCUGGACUGUAACUGACGCUGAGGCACGAAAGCGUGGGUAGCAAACAGGAUUAGAUACCCUGGUAGUCCACGCCGUAAAACGAUGAGUACUAGGUGUAGGAGGUAUCGACCCCUUCUGUGCCGCAGUAAAACACAUUAAGUACUCCGCCUGGGAAGUACGAUCGCAAGAUUAAAAACUCUAAGUGAAUUGACGGGGGUCA
rnacentral:rRNA from 1 species